rnacentral:rRNA from 1 species
AUGAAACACUCCUACGGGAGGCAGCAGUGGGGAAUUUUGCGCAAUGGGGGGAAACCCUGACGCAGCAACGCCGCGUGAGUGAUGAAGGCCUUCGGGUUGUAAAGCUCUUUUAGUGGGGAAGAAGCCCUCCUUGGCUAAUAUCCAGGGGGCCUGACGGUACCCACAGAAAAAGUUCCGGCUAACUACGUGCCAGCAGCCGCGGUAAUACGUAGGGAGCAAGCGUUGUUCGGAAUUAUUGGGCGUAAAGAGCGCGUAGGCGGUUUGGUAAGUCUGGUGUGAAAUCCCGGAGCUUAACUCCGGAACUGCAUUGGAUACUGCCAGGCUUGAGUGUGGGAGAGGAGAGUGGAAUUCCCAGUGUAGAGGUGAAAUUCGUAGAUAUUGGGAGGAACACCCGUGGCGAAGGCGGCUCUCUGGACCACAACUGACGCCGAGGCGCGAAAGCUAGGGGAGCAAACGGGAUUAGAAACCCCAGUAGUCCGAAGUUC